AACGCACAUUGCGCCCCUUGGUAUUCCGAGGGGCAUGCCUGUUCGAGCGUCAUUAUAACCACUCAAGCCUAGCUUGGUAUUGGGGUUCGCGGUCCCGCGGCUCUUAAAAUCAGUGGCGGCGCCAUCUGGCUCUAAGCGUAGUAAUCUUUCUCGCUACAGAGUCCCGGUGGAUGCUUGCCAGCAACCCCCUAUUUUCUUAGGUUGACCUCGGAUCAGGUAGGGAUACCCGCUGAACUUAA
rnacentral:misc_RNA from 1 species